rnacentral:rRNA from 1 species
AUACGGAGGAUCCGAGCGUUAUCCGGAUUUAUUGGGUUUAAAGGGAGCGUAGGCGGGAGAUCAAGUCAGCUGUGAAAUGUAGAUGCUCAACAUCUGCACUGCAGUUGAAACUGGUUUUCUUGAGUGCGUAAGGGGCAGGCGGAAUUCGUCGUGUAGCGGUGAAAUGCUUAGAUAUGACGAAGAACUCCGAUCGCGAAGGCAGCCUGCCGGGCCGCGACUGACGCUGAAGCUCGAAGGUGCGGGUAUCGAACAGGAUUAGAUACCCUGGUAGUCCGCACAGUAAACGAUGGAUACUCGCUGUCGGCGAUAUACGGUCGGUGGCCAAGCGAAAGCGUUAAGUAUCCCACCUGGGGAGUACGCCGGCAACGGUGAAACUUAAAGGAAUUGACGGGG